rnacentral:misc_RNA from 1 species
ACGAGUUAGGGUCUCCUAGGCCCGAUCUCCCAACCCUUUGUUUACUCAACCUCCGUUGCUUCGGCGGGCCCGUCUUUAUUGACCGCCGGAGGAUGGCCGAGAGGCCGUCCUCUCGCCAGUGUUCGCCGAUAGCCACCCUCUUAAAUUCUGAAUAAAAUCGUGUCUUAUAUCUAAGUUAAUGAUUAAAUAAAAGCA